rnacentral:rRNA from 1 species
GACGAACGCUGGCGGCGUGCUUAACACAUGCAAGUCGAACGGAAAGGCCCUGCUUUUUUGGGGUGCUCGAGUGGCGAACGGGUGAGUAACACGUGAGUAACCUGCCACUGACUGUGAGAUAACUUCAGGAAACUGGGGCUAAUACCGGAUAGGAGCUCCUGCUGCAUGGUGGGGGUUGGAAAGAUUCGGUGGUUGGGGAUGGACUCGCGGCGUGUCAGCUUGGUGGGGGGGUGGUGGCUUACCAAGGCUUUGACGGGUAGCGGGCCUGCGAGGGGGACACGACAAAUUGGAACUGGGAUACGGCCCAGACCAGUACGCGAGGGAGCGGUGGGGAAGAUUGUACAAUGGGAUGAAGCCUGAUGCAGCAACGCCGCGUGCGGGAUGACGGGCUGCGGGUUGUAAACCAAUUUCGUCUGUGACGAAGCGUGAGUGACGGUAAUGGGUAAAGAAGCACCGGCUAACUACGUG